rnacentral:rRNA from 1 species
CCCUUCUUUCGGGAAAAUCCCUUCGGCAAGGGCUCCUCCCCCCAAUUUUUUUAUCGGUGAUUGGAGGGACCUUCUUGCCUCGCCCGAUUUAAUGAGCCGAUGUCUGAUUACCUUGUUGGGGGGGUAAAGGCCCACGACAGCAACAAUCCCUAGCUGGUCUGAAACGAUGAUCGAUCUCACUCGAACUGAGACUCAGUCCACCCUCCUACGGCAGGCAGGAGUGGGGAACAUUGAACAAUGGGCGCAAGCCUGAUCCAUCCCUACCGCGUGGGUGAAGAAGGCUGUUGGGUUGUAAAUCCCUUUUGUUGGGAAAGAAAUCCCGCUGGCUAAUACCCGGUUGGGAUGACGGUACCCAAAAAAUAAACACCAGCUACCUUCUUGCCACCACCCCCGGUCAUACGAAGGGUGCGAUCGUUACUCUUAAUUACUGUGCAUAAAGCGUGCGUAGGUGGCCGUUUUAUUCCUUUUGUGAAAGCGCCGGGCUCAACCUGCGACCUGCAUUGGAUACUGGGCGACUAAAGUGUGAUAGAGGGUAACGGAAUUCCUGGUCUAUCAUUGACAUGCAUAUAGAUCAGGAUGAACAUCGAUGGCGAAGGCAUCUGCCUCUACCUUCACUGACACUGACGCACGAUGCGUAGCGGAGCAGACAUAGAUUAGAUAGUCAGUCACUCCACUCCCUAAACUCAACGAACUGGAUGUGAGUGUGUACCUUGGCACGCCUCAUAACGCUGACGCGCAACGUCUGCGGCCUGCGGAGUACGGUCGUAAGACUGAAACAAAAAGGAGUCGACCGGGGCUCGCGCCAGCCGCUGGAGUAUGUGGUCUUAUUUCUAUGCAACACAAGAAACUCCUCCUGGCC